rnacentral:tRNA from 2 species
GCGAGCGUAGUUCAACGGUAGAACAGAGUUCAUCUUAGGAGCCCCCACUCUUAAAAUAUCACGCAGGUUCGACUCCUGCCGCUCGCA